UCUCUCUCUCUCUCUCUCUCUCUCUCGUUCCUGAUCUCUCUCUGUCUCUCUCUCUCACUCAUUACAUCUACCUACAACAAGAACAAUGAUUCUCGAGCCUUUCAUCUGAUCAAUCUUUCAACGAUCGGAGUUUGCAAGCUUAGAGUGGUUGACGCUAUGAUCUGGUCCUUAUUUUGAGGGAUUUUUCAGUUUUUGUGGUUUUUCUGAGGAUCAGAAGUGGUUUUUGGAGCUGGAUUUAAGGUUUUUGUUGUGAAAAGUAUGGAGAGAGUUUUAGGGACCUGAAGAUCUAAUUCUCAUCUGGUUGAUUUGAUUCUGGUAGGAAUCGUCGUGGAGAUUCUGGCAUCAGUGAGCGGUUAGGAUUAUGCAGCAACAAGGAGGAUCGGUUUAGCAUGGGAUUUUGAACAAUAGAAGGCAGAAAGCAGGUCUUGACUAAGGUUUACAUAUCUGGGGCUAGUGCUUUUUCAGGAUGAGUAGUGGCUCGAGCUGUUAGUGAGGUUGUAGUUGGCAAUCCGGUCAAGUGAGAUCUUACACAUUUCAUUCCAUGUUAGCAUUAUGUUGCUUGUUCUAUUUUAUAUUUGAAUGUUGUUUAUUUAUUUA